rnacentral:rRNA from 1 species
CAGUCGCCGCGGGAAUACGGAGGGUGCAAGCGUUAAUCGGAAUUACUGGGCGUAAAGCGCACGCAGGCGGUCUGUUAAGUCAGAUGUGAAAUCCCCGAGCUUAACUUGGGAACUGCAUUUGAAACUGGCAAGCUAGAGUCUUGUAGAGGGGGGUAGAAUUCCAGGUGUAGCGGUGAAAUGCGUAGAGAUCUGGAGGAAUACCGGUGGCGAAGGCGGCCCCCUGGACAAAGACUGACGCUCAGGUGCGAAAGCGUGGGGAGCAAACAGGAUUAGAUACCCCGGUAGUCCCUGUCUCUUAUAC